rnacentral:lncRNA from 1 species
UUCCCAGGCUAGUGGCUGAAUCGGAGCUAUAGCUGCCUGCCUGUGCCACAGUCACAGCAGCAUAGGAUGCAAGCUGUGUCUGUGACCCCCACCACAGCUCAUGGCGAUGCUGGAUCCUUAACCCACUGAGCGGGGCCAGGGAUCAAAAUCACAUCCUCAUGGAUACUAGUCAGGUUCAUAACCCACUGAGCUACAACAGGAACUCCCAGAUUACUAAAUUAAUCCCAAGAGAAAAUAAUAAUUUCAAGUGACUUUUGAAUACAGCUCAUCUUAUUCUGAGUGCAUUCCAAGGAAAAAAUUAAACCACAAAGACCUACAUUUUAUUCAAUAAUUUUAUUGUUUAUUUGUAUUAUUAGUGUUGUAAUUUUGAAACUUUUUGGUGUAAAAUGUAGAAUAAAGCAAAUAAGUAAAAAUAUUAUUAAGAAAAAUUCAGUGCAAGAGAAAUUUUACAAAUGUAAAGUCAAGGAAUUUUAAGGAAACACUAGGCAAUGUUAGAGUUGAAUUGGAACUAUCAUUAUCUACUCAUUACAUUAAAAAAAAAAAUAUAUAUAUAUAUAUAUAUAUUCCCUAUCUGUUCACUAAAAGAGCCUAAGAAAAAACACCUCAGUAAUUAGGAACAUAACUAGCACCAAGACCUUCAUUUCUAGUUAUCAUUUUCUACUAAAAGGUGCCAGAGUUCUUUGGAGACAUUAUUAAAUUUUAUUGGGGACAGGAAAAUUCCCAGAACAUGACAGAUAACUUGGAGUUCUUCUUGACCGAAUUUGGUAAAAUUUUGGACAGCAAAAAGAAUGUUGGUAUUUUUUUUAAAAAAUUGAAAGAAAACAUUUUCCGUCCCUACAAUUGAUCUUUAUAACUCCUUAUUCUAAAAGAAAUGUAUUAAGGUAUCCUGGAUUCACCCAAGUAACAUCUUAAGACAAUGAAGGAAACAUCUGUACAGAAAAAUGUCGUGUGACAGAAAUAAAAGAAUCAGAAUUAGAGCAAGUGAGACACAGAGAGCAAAUGUGGCAAAAUGCCAACAAUUGAUAAAUAAGGUGAAAUCAUAUAACGGUGUUUGUUUACUGUUCUUUCAACUUUUCUCUGGGUUUUUAAUUAUUCAAAAUUAAAGUUGGGGGGAAAGCUCAGCAUUAUGGAAAAAAAAUGAGAUGUUUAGAUUAAAACAUACAAAAGAUGGGAGGUCCAAAUGUAAUUCAUGAACCAUGAUUGGAUCCCAGUUUGGGAAGAAAAUUACUAUAAGCAACUCAAGAGGACAGUCAGAGAAUUUGAAUAUGAGCUGGAUAUUAAAUACUAUUAGGAAAUAAUUGUUAAUUGUCUUUCAUGUGGUAACGCUAUUAUGGUUAUGCAGGAGAUGAAUAUUGAAGUUAUUAUGUCUGCAAGUUAUUUUCAAAUGAUUCUGUGAAAAAUAAAUUUAGCUAUUGGCAUAGAAUAGGGAAGAUAAAUUAAUAGAUUGAUAACUUCAUAAAUAGAAAGAUAGAUAACACAUGUGGCCUAUUGCUAGCAAUCGUUGAAUCCACAAAUUAUGGGUGUUCAUUAUAUUAUUCUUUCAACAUAGCACUUUUUAAAUUUGUCUGAUAAAAUGCCAACAAAAUAAAUAUUAAAGACAAUAUUUAUUUGGGGGUUGUAACAGCCUUACAUAUAAAUAAAAUAAAGGGUACAAUUCAUAGUGUUGCCAUCUUAACAUGCAGCUUCUGAAUAAAUGGUUAUUACUCUCUUGCUCUACUAUUCUACAUUUUAAAACACAGAAUGCAAUUAACAUAUGGAGGAAAUCAGGGAUGCCUUACUGGGUUGAGUGGACAACUUUGGGCUUAGUGAACAUGUGAGUAAGAAGGUUGAAUUACUAUAAAAUGGUCCCUUGACUUCCAUGUAUGUUAAUUGGAUCUUGUUGGCUAGUUCUGUAUUUCCCAAAGGAAGAGAGGAAUGUUGAUUUUCCAACUCUCUGUUCUUGCCCUUCCAUUUAAACUCAGCCAAGUAAAGAAUAACAAUAAUCUUCCCUGUGCCUGUCCCCUCCACACACCAAACUUCCCAUGCACAUACCUAUAAUCCACUAAUUUAAUGAACCGAUUGAAGACUCCAGUUAUCAUAUUCUUAUAACUUUGCCUUCAGCUCCCUUACUUCCACUGGAGCCAGAAGUGCUGUUAGUGUUUAAAAUGAGUACCUUUUUAACACUUUCGAUUUUGCCCAUCACUGAGUUCUUGUCCUGGAAUUAGAUCAAGACAUGUUUUAGCAAUUUAGCUCUUUUUUAAAAAAUACUGUGUUUCCCAAACUUAUGUAUAAAAAUUGUUACCAAUAGGUGCAAAAAUAUUUAGAAUAACUUAAAGUUUUGUAUAUUAGAUCAAGUUCUGGGUUAUCCUUUGUUAUUUCAUUUUACUUUAAAAUUUUAAUCCCUUCCAUUGCACCUUCCAGAACUAUUCUAUUUUGCUCUAGAGAGAAAGAGAAACACUAAUUCAUAGACUAAUUCAAAGAUGUAAGGAACUAUUAAGACAUUUGAAUCAAGGAGUAAAUUCCUAAUUCACCUUCAAGUGCCAGCUGAUAUGACAUUUUCCUUGUGAGUCUUCCCAAACACAUAGGUGGGGACCAAACCAAUCUAUACUAUAGUAAUUAGCACAUCACAAGGACAGGCAAGGAGUCAUUAAAUAUUUCUUGAAUGAAUAAUGUUUCCAUCCCUAUAAUAUUUAUCAUACUGAGUAUAACUAUUUCGACAUAUCGGUCUCCCUUCAAUGGAUCUAACACUGAAUGUUUUUGUUUUGGUAGAGUGAAAUGAUGAAAAAUAGUCUUGGGAAAUUAAUCUGGCACGAGUUUCCAUGGUGAGGGGUAAAUUUGAGGACAAACACUUUGAAGGAAUAAAGAAGACUGGCUGUAAAUCAUUUGUAUGUAAAGUCGUAGAAAUUCCUUUAGACCUAGGAUUGAAAUUAAGAUCAGGGACAAUCCAUUCCUAUCCUUAAAACAUUAGGCUAAUGGCACAGCAAAGCUCAGUGACUUACUUGUAUGGCCUUGGGAUUAAAGUUAAAAUUUAGGAACUCAUUUUAACCUUUAAAGCCUUAGCAAAAAAGUAAGAUAUUUCAUGAGCACUAUUUCAGUGGCAACAAAUCUUUGUAGUAGAGAUUUGCAUUGCCUGAUUGUGGCAAUUGCUUUAUUUUCAUUCUGCAUAUCGUAGUGAAUCAACAUUACCAUCAUUAAAUAUUUAUCCAGCACUUCUGCUAAGUUGCUGUGGCAAAAUGAUUUUUUAACAUCUCUUCCUACCUAAUUAUAGACAAAAUAGAGAAUAUGAAUAUAAAAAGGCAUAAGCACACAACAAAUAACAUUCAUAUUGAAAUAUUUACAGCUUUAUUGAAACAGUCACAUGGGCAGAGCUGUAUGAAAAGACAUGAAGUAUAUAGAAAAUAUGGUCUAGUGAAAAAAAUGAAAUGAAAUAUAAAAAAGCACAUGUUUUGGCAAACAUAAUUGAACCCAAAUACAUAAAGAUAAGAGUGAAAUGGAAAUACUGGAAAGUGAGGUGCCUGGGGAUUAGUGAGGGCAAAUCAAGGAGGAUUUCAAAGAAGAAGUGAAUAUUCAUUUAAAUAGACUUCAUUUGCUCUUUUAGUCACCAAAGUGUUCACAAGACUCUUUUCUGUGUCAACUACGUUAGGUACAAAAGAUCAGAACUAAAUAAGCCAUUGUUCCUGUGGUCUAGGAGUUCACAGUCUAAUAGGGAAGAAAGACAUAUAAAAAAUGAUUGCCAUUCAGUGAAGUAAAUUCUCGAGGAGGAAUUUAGAGUUAGGAAAGACUCAAGAAAUUGAGAUUUGAGGCUAAGUAAAAGUUUGCCAGGCACAAAAGCAAAGAACAGCAUUCUAGCCAGGGGAGUGGUUUGUGCAAAUGGGAAGGACCGUAGCCCUGUGCAGAGGCAAAUACAUGCACAAGUCAAUCCCUGCAGACGAAAUAGUAAAAGAAUUUCAGGAUAGAUUACAUGUGUGUAGAGGAAUGAUGGAAAAGUCAUAUGAGCAACUUGGCAGAGGUCAGAUUGGAAAGGACAUUUUAUGGAACACUGAUGAUUCUGGACUUUAUUCUGUAGGUAAUGGUUAAGUAACUGAAGAUUCUAAGAAGGGACAAUCAGAAAAACAAUUCAGAAUCCAUUAACAUAUGCAGUGUUAGGACAAGGAUGCAACAUUCUUAGCACCUUCCAUUUUUGUGCUUCUGGCUAGGUUUAAGUGUCAGAUACUCAGCUCAGCGGCACACAGAAAAAUAGGUGUUGACAAGAUAUUUGGGGGAUAUUCAAUCAAGGUCAGGCUGUGGGAAUAUGACUGGACCAGCAACUGAAAAAAAAAAAGAAUAUAUUUUCUGGAUACAUUCCCAUUAAUAUUUAAUCCUCAAAUUCCUACUAACUUCAGAGAUCAUGCUUGGAUUUUAUCCCAAAUUAAAAUAUUUGUCAUUAGAAAUGUUCAAUCAAAUAUCACAAAUCCUCAUUCCUCACUCAAAGUUAGAACAUGUGAAGUACCUCAAGCAAACCAGAUGUACUAGACCUAGGGGGACCAUACUGGUAAGGCUGGGAGGACCUAAGCAUUUAUGUAGUCUAAUCUCUUUACUUCACAUAUAGGGAGACAGAUAUCCAGGUCUGUCAUACAGUUUUUCUAAAGUUCCUACAACUAGUUUCUGACAGAGCUAGAGCUUUAAGUUUUAUCAUAGAUCUCCCAGUCCAGUGCUUGUUCUGAAACACUGGACCACCUCUCUUCAAUGAAGAGGAUUGCUCUUUAAGGUCAUGGCUCUGGUGAGUUUUCGUCCAUCAUGAUAGCAUUACAGUGCCCUCAUUUUGAGACUACUAAAGUCUGACUCACUUGCAAAUAGUAUAAGUAAGUCUAACAGCAUUUCUACAUUUUGAUAUAGAAAAGAUGGUUCCAUGAAAGGCAGCUUCCUGAAGGAAAGUGUACAGUUGUCCCUUUCAAAAAAUGUCAGUCCUGCAGAAGGCAUUUCACCCUAAAGGAGACCGAAUAUAAGUUCUGAACAGCCUACCUGACAGU